rnacentral:rRNA from 1 species
UACGUAGGUGGCAAGCGUUGUCCGGAUUUACUGGGCGUAAAGGGCGCGUAGGCGGCGUGGUAAGUCACUUGUGAAAUCUCUGAGCUUAACUCAGAACGGUCAAGUGAUACUGCUGUGCUAGAGUGCAGAAGGGGCAAUCGGAAUUCUUGGUGUAGCGGUGAAAUGCGUAGAUAUCAAGAGGAACACCUGAGGUGAAGACGGGUUGCUGGGCUGACACUGACGCUGAGGCGCGAAAGCCAGGGGAGCAAACGGG